rnacentral:miRNA from 14 species
AUCACUUGAGGGUCUUGCUGAAAUGCAGAUUAUGAUUCAGUAGGUCUGGAGUGGGGUCUGAGAUUCUGAAUUUCUAACAAGCUCCCAGGUGAUGCUAAU